CGAACGGGUGAGUAAUGCGUGACCAACCUGCCCCAUGCUCCAGAAUAGCUCUUGGAAACGGGUGGUAAUGCUGGAUGCUCCAACUUGACGCAUGUCUUGUUGGGAAAGUGUUUAGUGGCAUGGGAUGGGGUCGCGUCCUAUCAGCUUGUAGGCGGGGUAAUGGCCCACCUAGGCUUCGACGGGUAGCCGGCCUGGGAGGGCGGACGGCCACAUUGGGACUGAGAUACGGCCCAGACUCCUACGGGAGGCAGCAGUC
rnacentral:rRNA from 1 species